UACAGAGGUCUCAAGCGUUGUUCGGAAUCACUGGGCGUAAAGGGAGCGUAGGCGGAUGUUUAAGUUGGAUGUUUAAAACCGGGGCCUAACCUCGGAGCGGCAUCCAAAACUGGGCAUCUUGAAUAGGUCAGAGGCUGGUGGAAUUGGAGGUGUAGCGGUGGAAUGCGUAGAGAUCUCCAAGAACACCUAUUGCGAAGGCAGCCAGCUGGGACCAUAUUGACGCUGAGGCUCGAAAGCAUGGGGAGCAAACAGG
rnacentral:rRNA from 1 species